AUGGUUCGCAACCUCUGGUGGGGCGCUUCUAAGGGCAAGAGGAAGACGCACUGGCUUGCGUGGCCAAAGAUCCAGGCUCAGAAAAGCAAGGGUGGUCUGGGGUUCAGAGAUUUCCGCCUUUUUAACCAGGCUCUCCUAGCGAGGCAGGCCUGGCGUUUGCUUACUAAACCCACCAGUUUCUGUGCGCAGGUGUUAAAGGCCCGAUACUACCAUGAUGGACGCCCUGAGGACACGGUCUUCUCAGGGAACUCCUCCCCGACCUGGCAGGCUAUCCAACAUGGCCUCGAGCUCCUGAAAAAGGGCAUCAUAUGGUGUGUUGGGAACGGUCAGGACAUUCGCAUAUGGCGGGACCGAUGGUUGCCACGGGAGCCCUCUCGUCAGCCCAUCACUCAGCAGGGCACUUGCCGCCUGCGGAGGGUGGCCGAGCUCCUCGACGGCGAGGGCUCUUGGCGCACCGGCCUACUACAACGCUACUUCCUGCCGGUGGAUGUCACCGUCAUCACUAGCAUCCAAACCGCGCCACGCGUCACCGAUGUGAAGGAAAUAUGCCUGCCGAAGAAGAACGGUAUCUUCACCGUCCGAUCCGCGUACCGCCUGGCAAUGGACGAGCGCGAGCGUCCAUUGGCCACCGCCAUGAGCAGGGCACCGGAUGGUCGUCGCGCCAUCUGGAAGAUCAUAUGGGGGUGCCCUGCUCCCCCUAAGGUACGCGUGUUUGCAUGGAGGGUUGUCACAAAUUCACUUGCUACUUGGGCCAACAAGGCUUCACGGCACCUCGAGGAUACUGACGUCUGCCCCCUAUGUGGUGUUGAACGCGAGGACGGAUUCCGCGCGCUUUGCAGGUGCCCACUGGCAAGGGAGCUAUGGAGACUCAUGGCGAUGGACUGGAACAUACCCAAGGUGGAGACCAUCCGGGACACGGGGCCAGAGUGGCUAUUCGCCUUGUUGGAACCCCUGGAUGAGACGGCGAGGCUAGUGGUCCUCAUGAUCAUGUGGAGAGUAUGGCAUGUUCGCAAUGAGAUUACCCAUGACAAACCGCCACCUUCUGCCGAGGCCUCUCGUCGAUUCUUACAUGGCUACAUUACUUCACUAUUAUGCAUCCAGCAACAUCCGCAUGCCAAUAUGGAGAAGGGGAAGAUGGUGGUUUGCGAUGGCCCGCCGCGCAUGCAGCCCUGCAGGAUAGCGACGGCGCGGCCGAGUUGCCCCCCCCCCCCCCUAGUGCGGGCUGGGCCAAACUUAACACAGACGGCAGCUUUGUUGCAGCCACAGGAGCAGCGGGAGGAGGUAUGA
rnacentral:rRNA from 1 species